GUCAUUGGCUACUUGGUGAGGGAAUGGAGUCUACUGGCUGCUUCAAAAGAAGAAAGUGUGCUCUGAGGAGCUGCCCAUGAGAAAGCACCAAGAAGGGUCUCCUGGGGACACUGUGAAACUGCAGGGAUUCAUGGAGACAUGGUGACACUGCGGUGUUUCCUGAGGUCACUGUGACACCUCAGGGACUCAUGGAGAUACUGUGACACUGCAGGGUCUCCUGGGGACACUGUGAAACUGCAGAGAUUCAUGGAGACACCACAGGGCCUCCUGGGUCAUGGAGACACUGCUGAGACUGAUGGGAUCACAGGGGCCCUGUGACACUCCAGGCCCUUGUAGAAUCCAGAGGCCCCUUUGGGGCCAUGGACCCUCAUGGAAUCAAGAGGAGACUGCCAACCUGUGGGGCUUCAUGAAACCUUCCACUGUGAUCCCUCAGGGCAUCAUGGUUCCCAGGAGACAUUGUGACACUGCAGACCUAAAUGGAAUAAACGGGACACUGUGACACUGCAGGACUGAAUGGAACCAAGGAGACAUUGUGACACUGAGGAGUUCAUGGAACUGAGGGGAUAAUGUUACACUCUG